rnacentral:lncRNA from 1 species
CAGUUGGUGUCUUCAUUUUAUGUAUAUUUAUCAUAUAAGUCUGAUUUUUUUUUUAAGCGUCUUGAAUGGUUUUCUGGAGAGACAGCACUGGUAAGUGGCACAUGACGGUAUCCCAGUCAUAAGAGGGUUGCAUGAUUCCUUUGAGUGUUUGAUUUGAAAAGCCUAGUCUUGUCUCUCAAGAGCAUCUCGGACCCAGAACAUUCUCCAGUAGUGCAUUCAGUUCAACACAGC